rnacentral:sRNA from 1 species
GCUGGGCAUAGUGAUGCAUGCCUGUAAUCCCAGCGACUUGGGAGGCUGAGGCAGGAGGAUCCUAAGUUUGAGACCAGUCUCAG